CUCCCGUGCGUUCCUCUUCAAUCGUUGGCACAAGAGCUGCUUUAGCCUUGGCCGUGUGGCUGGUUUCCUGUGUUGCAUACCUACAUCGAUGGAAUUUGUUGGCCCAUUCUCCGCAUGUUCGCCCACUGUUGCCCGUUUGCACGGUGCGGCUUCGGGUGAACCUCAA
rnacentral:misc_RNA from 1 species